UACGUAGGGGGCAAGCGUUAUCCGGAUUUACUGGGUGUAAAGGGAGCGUAGACGGCGAUGCAAGCCAGAUGUGAAAGCCCGGGGCUCAACCCCGGGACUGCAUUUGGAACUGUGUGGCUGGAGUGUCGGAGAGGCAAGUGGAAUUCCUAGUGUAGCGGUGAAAUGCGUAGAUAUUAGGAGGAACACCAGUGGCGAAGGCGGCUUGCUGGACGAUGACUGACGUUGAGGCUCGAAAGCGUGGGGGGCAAACAGG
rnacentral:rRNA from 1 species